AUACGUAGGGGGCGAGCGUUGUCCGGAAUGAUUGGGCGUAAAGGGCGCGUAGGCGGCGCGGUAAGUCUGGAGUGAAAGUCCUGCUUUCAAGGUGGGAAUUGCUUUGGAUACUGCCGCGCUUGAGUGCAGGAGAGGUUAUCGGAAUUCCCGGUGUAGCGGUGAAAUGCGUAGAGAUCGGGAGGAACACCAGUGGCGAAGGCGGGUAACUGGACGGCAACUGACGCUGAGGCGCGAAAGUGUGGGGAGCAAACAGGAUUAGAUACCCUGGUAGUCCACACUGUAAACGAUGAAUGCUAGGUGUAAGAGGUAUCGACCCCUUUUGUGCCGGAGUCAACACAAUAAGCAUUCCGCCUGGGGAGUACGGCCGCAAGGUUGAAACUCAAAGGAAUUGACGGGG
rnacentral:rRNA from 1 species